AUGAAGGUAAAGGGAGAGACUGCUUAAAUGCAGCGCCGAAGGAGCAAACAGAAAUGUGAAUCUCUCAGGCAAAGAGACUUUUAUUUGACG
rnacentral:ncRNA from 2 species